rnacentral:lncRNA from 1 species
GUCUCAUUGGCUGUUGGUUUAUCAGCCUGGGCCACCACAACUUUUGGCCCCCAAGGUGUUGGCUCCUCGUGUUUUCUCUGUCCAGAGACAACCCGAGCAGUUGGCUGGUUCACCUUCUACAAUGAGAAACGGCCACUCAUCAACACACAGAGUCUUGUCAUCCCCCUCCGGUUGAGCAAACUGCAAAGACAUACUAUCAUACCAAUGUACAAACCUCAUGAGGAAGGAUCCGCACGGAAGACUGAUCCCAGUCCUCAAGCGCAUCCCAGGACUCAGGUUGGCUGCGCUAUAAACACAUAGGGAGAAUUAGUAUUCAAUAAAUGUGGCCUAACUAAAACAGGCACAUCCCAGGACUCAGGUUGGCUGCGCUAUAAACACAUAGGGGGAAUUAGUAUUCAAUAAAUGUGGCCUAACUAAAACUAAAGCUUUUCAAAAUUGUAUAACUUUUACCUUUCCGCGACGUCCGACGACAGUUUCCUUGAAGGGGUCAAGGGGACGUGGACGUGAAACCUCUCCCUUCACAACCACGGUGGUAGCAAAGGGUCUCACAGUCGGGGGUGACUUGGGAGGAGACACAGGCGGUGGUGUAACAGGCAGAGGUGACUGUAGCUGCUGAAAGGAGAAGUGCCACAGAAGCUUCGCGAGAAGCGGCAUCCCCAGAUCGUCACUCAGGUGGAUCUAUUAUAAUGAGAAGCACGGGUUAUUAUUGAAAUAAACUGCUUUCGCCAUAUAAAAAUGACAUUACAUGAAUUUCUCACGUGCCAAGUUAUAACACGACUUACCCCA